rnacentral:rRNA from 1 species
UACGAAGGGGGCUAGCGUUGCCCGGAAUCACUGGGCGUAAAGGGCGCGUAGGCGGCUUGAUAAGCGUGCGGUGAAAGCCCGGGGCUCAACCCCGGGUCGGCCGUGCGAACUGUCGAGCUGGAGCACUGUAGAGGCAGGUGGAAUUCCGGGUGUAGCGGUGGAAUGCGUAGAGAUCCGGAAGAACACCGGUGGCGAAGGCGGCCUGCUGGGCAGUGGCUGACGCUGAGGCGCGACAGCGUGGGGAGCAAACAGG